AUGCCAUUUGGACUCUCAAAUGCACCAAGUACCUUUAUCCACCUGAUGAAUCAAGUCCUUCGACCCUUCUUAUCCCACUUUGUUGUGGUCUAUUUCGAUGACAUCUUGAUCUAUAGCAAGGACGAGGAUGAACACUUUGAUCACAUUCGAAAGGUGCUAAAAGUACCAAGGGAAAAUGAGCUCUACGUCAACUUGAAGAAAUGUGUUUUCCUGCAAACACAACUUCUUUUCCUAGGAUUCGUCAUAACAUGUGACGGUAUUCGUGUUGAUGAUGCUAAGGUUGAAGCAAUUCGAGAAUGGCCAACUCCAAAGACCAUUUCUGAAGUAAGAAGUUUUCAUGGCCUUGCAACUUUCUAUAGGCUGUUUGUGAAGAAUUUCAGCACUAUCAUGGCACCAAUUACCGAGUGCCUGAAAAAAGGAAAGUUCCAAUGGACAAAAGCGGCUGAAGUUAGUUUCGAUGAGAUCAAGCAAAAACUCUCGCAAGCUCCUGUCUUGGUGCUACCUGAUUUCAACAAGGUUUUUGAGUCGGAGUGUGACGCAAGUGGAGUAGGCAUUGGAGCUGUUCUAUCUCAAGAAAGGAAGCCCAUUGCUUUCUUUAGUAAGAAGUUAAACGAGGCUAGAAAGAAAUGGAAUACUUAUCAGCAAGAAUUGUAUGCCAUUUUCAGAGCUUUGAAAACUUGGGAAGUCUAUUUGCUGCCUAAAGAGUUUGUCGUUUACAUUGACCAUCAAUUCUUGAUGCAUUUUAGAAAUCAAAAGCAUGUUGAUCGCAUGCUAGCAAGAUGGGCAGUAUACCUGGAGAGGUUUAACUAUCUCAUUGUGCAUAAAUCUGGAACGACUAACCGAGUGGCUGAUGCCGAGUCGUUGUGCAUGGCUCUUGACUUCUUUUGA
rnacentral:rRNA from 1 species